rnacentral:rRNA from 1 species
GAUCCUGGCUCAGGACGAACGCUGGCGGCGUGCCUAAUACAUGCAAGUAGAACGCUGAAGGAAGGAGCUUGCUCUUUCCGGAUGAGUUGCGAACGGGUGAGUAACGCGUAGGUAACCUGCCUGGUAGCGGGGGAUAACUAUUGGAAACGAUAGCUAAUACCGCAUAACAGUAGAUAUCGCAUGAUAGCUACUUGAAAGGUGCAAUUGCACCACUACCAGAUGGACCUGCGUUGUA